GAUCCUGACUCAGGAUGAACGCUGGCGGCGUGCCUAACACAUGCAAGUCGAACGGACUUUUCAUGAAGCCUAGCGAUUGAAAAGUUAGUGGCGGACGGGUGAGUAACGCGUGGGUAACCUGCCUUGUACUGGGGGACAACAGUUGGAAACGACUGCUAAUACCGCAUAAGCGCACAGCUUCGCAUGAAGCAGUGUGAAAAACUCCGGUGGUACAAGAUGGACCCGCGUCUGAUUAGCUGGUUGG
rnacentral:rRNA from 1 species